UACGUAGGGCGCGAGCGUUGUCCGGAUUUAUUGGGCGUAAAGAGCUCGUAGGCGGCUUGUUGCGUCAGCUGUGAAAACCCGCAGCUCAACUGUGGGCUUGCAGCUGAUACGGGCAGGCUUGAGUGCGGUAGGGGAGACUGGAAUUCCUGGUGUAGCGGUGAAAUGCGCAGAUAUCAGGAGGAACACCGGUGGCGAAGGCGGGUCUCUGGGCCGGUACUGACGCUGAGGAGCGAAAGCGUGGGGAGCGAACAGG
rnacentral:rRNA from 1 species